GCGAUGGUGGUAUAGAGGUUAGCAUGGUUGCCUUCCAAGCAGUCGACCCGGGUUCGAUUCCCGGCCAUCGCA
rfam:Daphnia pulex DAPPTscaffold_4999_Cont16227, whole genome shotgun sequence.